rnacentral:rRNA from 1 species
GUCUAUGGCUAUACCACCCUGAAUGCACCCCAUCAUGUUUGAUAUUGGAAGCUAAGCAGGGUCGGGCCUGGUUGGUACUUGGAUGGGAGAAAUCCCUGUUCUCCAUGUCACUGCAGCUC